GAUGAGCGCUGGCGGCGUGCCUAAUACAUGCAAGUCGAGCGAACAGACGAGGAGCUUGCUCCUCUGACGUUAGCGGCGGACGGGUGAGUAACACGUGGAUAACCUACCUAUAAGACUGGGAUAACUUCGGGAAACCGGAGCUAAUACCGGAUAAUAUAUUGAACCGCAUGGUUCAAUAGUGAAAGACGGUUUUGCUGUCACUUAUAGAUGGAUCCGCGCCGCAUUAGCUAGUUGGUAAGGUAACGGCUUACCAAGGCAACGAUGCGUAGCCGACCUGAGAGGGUGAUCGGCCACACUGGAACUGAGACACGGUCCAGACUCCUACGGGAGGCAGCUGUAGGGAAUCUUCCGCAAAGGGCGAAAGCUUGACGGAGCAACGCCGCGUGAGUGAUGAAGGUCUUCGGAUCGUAAAACUCUGUUAUUAGGGAAGAACAAAUGUGUAAGUAACUAUGCACGUCUUGACGGUACCUAAUCAGAAAGCCACGGCUAACUACGUG
rnacentral:rRNA from 1 species